AGUGAACGCUGGCGGUAGGCCUAACACAUGCGAGUCGAACGGCAGCACAGUAAGAGCUUGCUCUUACGGGUGGCGAGUGGCGGACGGGUGAGGAAUACAUCGGAAUCUACUUUUUCGUGGGGGAUAACGUAGGGAAACUUACGCUAAUACCGCAUACGACCUACGGGUGAAAGCAGGGGAUCUUCGGACCUUGCGCGAUUGAAUGAGCCGAUGUCGGAUUAGCUAGUUGGCGGGGUAAAGGCCCACCAAGGCGACGAUCCGUAGCUGGUCUGAGAGGAUGAUCAGCCACACUGGAACUGAGACACGGUCCAGACCCCUACGGGAGGCAGCAGUGGGGAAUAUUGGACAAUGGGCGCAAGCCUGAUCCAGCCAUACCGCGUGGGUGAAGAAGGCCUUCGGGUUGUAAAGCCCUUUUGUUGGGAAAGAAAAGCAGCAGGUUAAUACCCCGCUGUUCUGACGGUACCCAAAGAAUAAGCACCGGCUAACUUCGUG
rnacentral:rRNA from 1 species